rnacentral:rRNA from 1 species
AACGAACGCUGGCGGCAUGCCUAACACAUGCAAGUCGAACGAGACCUUCGGGUCUAGUGGCGCACGGGUGCGUAACGCGUGGGAACCUGCCCUUAGGUUCGGAAUAACUCCCCGAAAGGGGUGCUAAUACCGGAUAAUGUCUUCGGACCAAAGAUUUAUCGCCUUUGGAUGGGCCCGCGUUGGAUUAGCUAGUUGGUAGGGUAAAAGCCUACCAAGGCGACGAUCCAUAGCUGGUCUGAGAGGAUGAUCAGCCACACUGGGACUGAGACACGGCCCAGACUGAGGGGGGGGGGGGGGGUGGGGAUGAUGGCAGCAGGGGGGAAGGCAUGAGCAAGGGAUGCGGGGUGAGUGAGGAAGGCAUUAGGGUUGUAGAUUUCUUUCACCGGGGAGGAUAAUGACGGAAGCGGGAGAAGAAGCUCCGGCUAACGCCGUCCCAGCGGCCGCGGUAAUAGUCGGAGGAGCACACGGCUGACC